rnacentral:rRNA from 1 species
UCGAGCGGACCGACGGGAGCUUGCUCCCUUAGGUCAGCGGCGGACGGGUGAGUAACACGUGGGUAACCUGCCUGUAAGACUGGGAUAACUCCGGGAAACCGGGGCUAAUACCGGAUGCUUGAUUGAACCGCAGGUUCAAUCAUAAAAGGUGGCUUUUAGCUACCACUUGCAGAUGGACCCGCGGCGCAUAGCUAGUUGGUGAGGUAACGGCUCACCAAGGCGACGAUGCGUAGCCCACCUGAGAGGGUGAUCGGCCACACUGGGACUGAGACACGGCCCAGACUCCUACGGGAGGCAGCAGUAGGGAAUCUUCCGCAAUGGACGAAAGUCUGACGGAGCAACGCCCCGUGAGUGAUGAAGGUUUUCGGAUCGUAAAACUCUUUUGUUAGGGAAGAACAAGUACCGUUCGAAUAGGGCGGCACCUUGACGGUACCUAACCAGAAAGCCACGGCUAACUACGUGCCA